AGUGAACGCUGGCGGUAGGCCUAACACAUGCAAGUCGAACGGCAGCACAGUAAGAGCUUGCUCUUACGGGUGGCGAGUGGCGGACGGGUGAGGAAUACAUCGGAAUCUACUUUUUCGUGGGGGAUAACGUAGGGAAACUUACGCUAAUACCGCAUACGACCUACGGGUGAAAGCAGGGGAUCUUCGGACCUUGCGCGAUUGAAUGAGCCGAUGUCGGAUUAGCUAGUUGGCGGGGUAAAGGCCCACCAAGGCGACGAUCCGUAGCUGGUCUGAGAGGAUGAUCAGCCACACUGGAACUGAGACACGGUCCAGACUCCUACGGGAGGAAGCAGUGGGGAAUAUUGGACGAUGGGCGAAAGCCUGAUCCAGCAAUACCGCGUGGGUGAAGAAGGACUUCGGGUUGUAAAGCCAUUUUGUUGGGAAAGAAAAGCAGCAGGUUAAUACCCCGUUGUUCUGACGGUACCCAAAGAAUAAGCACCGGCUAACUUCGUG
rnacentral:rRNA from 1 species